rnacentral:rRNA from 1 species
CCUACGGGUGGCUGCAGUGGGGAAUUUUGGACAAUGGGUGCAAGCCUGAUCCAGCUAUUCCGCGUGUGGGAUGAAGGCCCUCGGGUUGUAAACUGCUUUUGUACGAGGGUAAAUCCCGAUACGUGUAUCGGGUUGAAAGUAUCGUACGAAUAAGGAUCGGCUAACUCCGUGCCAGCAGCCGCGGUAAUACGGAGGAUUCAAGCGUUAUCCGGAUUUAUUGGGUUUAAAGGGUGCGUAGGCGGUCGGAUAAGUUAGAGGUGAAAUCCCGAGGCUCAACUUCGGAAUUGCCUCUGAUACUGUUCGGCUAGAGAGUAGUUGCGGUAGGCGGAAUGUAUGGUGUAGCGGUGAAAUGCUUAGAGAUCAUACAGAACACCGAUUGCGAAGGCAGCUUACCAAGCUACUUCUGACGUUGAGGCACGAAAGCGUGGGGAGCAAACAGGAUUAGAUACCCGAGUAGUC